GAUGUCGGCUCGUCACAUCCUGGGGCUGGAGAAGGUCCCAAGGGUUCGGCUGUUCGCCGAUUAAAGUGGCACGCGAGCUGGGUUCAGAACGUCGCGAGACAGUUCGGUCCCUAUCUGUUAUGGGCGCGAGAAAUUUGACGGGUGCUGACUCUAGUACGAGAGGACCGAGUCGGACGUACCGCUAGUGUACCUGUUGUGUCGCCAGAUGCACCGCAGGGUAGCUAUGUACGGAUAAGAUAAGUGCUGAAAGCAUCUAAGUACGAAACUUACCUGAAGAUGAGAUUUCUACAAAAGGGUCGUUGAAGACUACGACGUAGAUAGGUCGCAGAUGUAAAGUCAGUGAUGGCAAAGUCGAGCGAUACUAAUAACCCAAAAGUUUAUACGCA
rnacentral:rRNA from 1 species